CACGCGGGGCGAGAUCACGUGGCCGCGGGAGGCGGACCUGUCCGUCCAGCUCGCGCGGCGGCCGUGGGGUCGGAGCCGUUGCGCGCGUGUCGUGAAGGGGGUCCCGCCCGCGGGCGCACGGCAGAUGUUUGAGAAGCAGCAUUACAGGACAUAAAUCACACAGCCACAGCCUGAGAACGAAAGGACUCAAACUGUCAAAUGAAGGAACAAACAGAAUGUGUUAGGGCAGUAGCUGCAAGGAGCCGAAAUGUACAAGUAAUCCACUUGUCAAAUCCUCCUCUCUCGCAAAGGAAACACGAGCUAUGAACCUAGAACUUCUCAGAAAUAAGACUUCUUGUUGAACGGUUGGAGUUGCCACUGUGUGCACUUCAAAGACAAGAAUUUUGCAGCUUACUCGCAGUUAAGUGGCAAUUAAAGAUGUGCUUCAUAACACUGUGUAGAAAUCUGCAAGUUUCCUGUACAGGUCUAUUUGGUUCAACUGAUUCGUCAGCUCCUCUGGUCUUAAGCACCUUCUCAUCUUGGCAAGUUCUCUCUGCUUUUUCUAAGCAAUUAAAUAAAC